rnacentral:RNase_P_RNA from 1 species
GGAGCAGGCCGGGGAGCCGCUCCUUCCCGGGGAUUUCCCGGGGAGGGGAGGAAAGUCCGGGCUCCACAGGGCAGGGUGCUGGGUAACACCCAGCGGGGGCGACCUCAGGGAAAGUGCCACAGAAAUGUAAACCGCCUCUGGAGGAUAUGGGUGGAGUUCCCUCCAGGGGUAAGGGUGCAACGGCGGGGUAAGAGCCCACCAGCAGCCAGGCGACUGGCUGUCCCGUCAGGGGGUCCCCGGUUUUCCCGGGGAACCUAGGUAAACCCCACCCGGAGCAAGGCCGAAUAGGGGGAGAUGAGGUGGCCCGCUGAUCCCCGGGUAGGCCGCUUGAGGCUGCAGGCGACUGCACGCCCGAGAUAGAUGGCUACCCGCCCGCCUUCCCCUGGGAAGGCGGGUACAGAACCCGGCUUACAGGCCUGCUCCCCUU